AAAUAGGUGCUUUUUCUACGUUGUUUACCUUAGUUACUGGGGGGUUUCGGGGAAAACCUGACUAGUGCAAUCAGGUAAUCGACCAAGUAAUCCACAUACAUGAUAAAAGAGCAUUCCAGCCCUAGUGUACUUAUCCACUGGCAUUGAAGGAGAAGAAUGACAAGGUCUGCUUCCACAGUAAGGAUUGCCGCUUAGUCCAAUCCAAGAGCAAACAAGGGACGCCUCAUUAAGCAAGAACCCGAGCUAAGAGCGGGGCAGUUCAAUUAAGGUAUAGAGAAAGCUCCAAGCAGCUACCAUUGAUCAACCUUAUUCAGGCACAUCAAUCAAAGAUCUUGCUUACCGGAUAACUUUCCUGGUGAAGGAGAGAAAGUUUGACAAGCUAAGAAAGUCUCGUUGAAAGCAGGAACUCAGACUGUGACGACUAUUUUCACUAGUUUCAAAGGCUUGAUUGACCCUUGGGAUUGAAUGAAUGCUUCAAAGAAGAAGAGUCAGCCGGGGCACAGGUUACAUCUGGGCCUUAUAUUGAUAUUCUUUUCAAUUCAUUUUUCAAUUUCUUCGGUCCGGGGUACCGCGCAAUCCGUUUAGAUCUAUUUCAGUUGCCAAUGAAAUGGAAUACGGGGAACUCUCCGUCUAAGUGGUUAAUCCGACGAGUCAAUU
rnacentral:lncRNA from 1 species